GCUUUGAGAUCCGUGAUCUGGAUCUGCUUAGGGACCAUUUCUGGAUCCGGUCCCAACCGCUCCGUGCCACAGACGAUCACAUCUACACUUGCAGUUGAAGAAAAAGAAGAAGAAGCUACGCUGGGGUGGUUCUUC